CAUGUGUUAUAUUAAAAUAUCCUACGAAAGAAUUUAGUGUUACAUUCUUAUAGCUACUGUAGAAACCUUAGACGUAGUUGAAGUUCAUUACUUGUCUUUACUCUUAAAUUUUAGGCAUUUUUCACAGAUCGAUAUGUCUGUCUUAUUAUACCAAACUACAUUUUUAACUUUAUCCUUGAGGAAUUACUGGAUCGAACCAUCUGAGCCACCGCAACCUGCAGCGGUAGUAUAACUAAAUAUUUUUUAGAUGUUAUACGUUCUUCUGUCGGUUUUUCUACGGAAGAAAAUUCGGGCAGACAUUUCAUUACAAUCCUCCAUAAAAAUUCGGGCAAACUUUCAACUGCCCCCUCCACGGAAGGUAUUAUGGCAAUACGAUAAAUAAAAAAUAAAUGUAAAAAUUUGAAUUCUGAAGAUACUUUGACUUUCAGAUCAGGAAUGGCGAAGGCAUGGUCAUGGAUGACUAUAAUUCAGUUCAUUGGCGUCAUGCAACUUAAUAUGGCUGGCCGAAUAACACUGAGAGGUAAAGAAAAAAAUAAGAAAC